rnacentral:rRNA from 1 species
UACGUAGGCAGCAAGCGUUGUUCGGAGUUACUGGGCGUAAAGGGUGCGUAGGCGGCUUUUUAAGUCUGGUGUGAAAUCUCCCGGCUCAACUGGGAGGGUGCGCCGGAUACUGAGGGGCUAGAGUGUGGGAGAGGAAAGUGGAAUUCCUGGUGUAGCGGUGAAAUGCGUAGAUAUCGGAAGGAACACCUGUGGCGGAAGCGGCUCACUGGACCAUUACUGACGCUGAGGCACGAAAGCUAGGGGAGCAAACAGG